rnacentral:rRNA from 1 species
UAACACAUGCAAGUCGAGCGCGAAAACACUUCGGUGUGAGUAGAGCGGCGGACGGGUGAGUAACGCGUAUGAAUCUACCUAGUAGUGGGGGACAACUCGAGGAAACUCGAGCUAAUACCGCAUACGCCCUACGGGGGAAAGCGGGGGACCUUCGGGCCUCGCGCUAUUAGAUGAGCUUGCGUUGGAUUAGCUUGUUGGUGAGGUAAUGGCUCACCAAGGCUACGAUCCAUAGCUGGUCUGAGAGGAUGAUCAGCCACACCGGGACUGAGACACGGCCCGGACUCCUACGGGAGGCAGCAGUGGGGAAUAUUGCGCAAUGGGCGGAAGCCUGACGCACCCAUGCCGCGUGUGUGAAGAAGGCCUUAGGGUUGUAAAGCACUUUCAAUUGGGAGGAAAAGUUAACCACUAAUACUCGUUAGCCUUGACGUUACCUUUAGAAGAAGCACCGGCUAACUCCGUGCCAGCAGCCGCGGUAAUACGGAGGGUGCAAGCGUUAAUCGGAAUUACUGGGCGUAAAGCGCGCGUAGC